GAUUAGAUACCCUGGUAGUCCACGCCCUAAACGAUGUCAACUGGUUGUUGGGAGGGUUUCUUCUCAGUAACGUAGCUAACGCGUGAAGUUGACCGCCUGGGGAGUACGGCCGCAAGGUUGAAACUCAAAGGAAUUGACGGGGACCCGCACAAGCGGUGGAUGAUGUGGUUUAAUUCGAUGCAACGCGAAAAACCUUACCUACCCUUGACAUGCCAGGAAUCUUGCAGAGAUGUGAGAGUGCUCGAAAGAGAACCUGGACACAGGUGCUGCAUGGCCGUCGUCAGCUCGUGUCGUGAGAUGUUGGGUUAAGUCCCGCAACGAGCGCAACCCUUGUCAUUAGUUGCUACGAAAGGGCACUCUAAUGAGACUGCCGGUGACAAACCGGAGGAAGGUGGGGAUGACGUCAGGUCAUCAUGGCCCUUAUGGGUAGGGCUACACACGUCAUACAAUGGCCGGGACAGAGGGCUGCCAACCCGCGAGGGGGAGCUAAUCCCAGAAACCCGGUCGUAGUCCGGAUCGCAGUCUGCAACUCGACUGCGUGAAGUCGGAAUCGCUAGUAAUCGCGGAUCAGCUUGCCGCGGUGAAUACGUUCCCGGGUCUUGUACACACCGCCCGUCACACCAUGGGAGCGGGUUCUGCCAGAAGUAGUUAGCCUAACCGCAAGGAGGGCGAUUACCACGGCAGGGUUCGUGACUGGGGUGAAGUCGUAACAAGG
rnacentral:rRNA from 1 species